AUUUUAUGAGGAGGUGUAUGAUCAAGUUUUUGAGGGCUUCUAGAGAAGACUAAAGCCUUGUUUAGAUCAACCUUUCUGCAAAAGACUAAUGGACAUCUUUAAUCUUGCUCCAUCACAUAGAAUCUUCUUUGUCAAUAAUAAUGGAAAGGCAUGCAAAUGAAGACUCCAAGCAAGAUGUAGCUCAAAGUGCAAAAACCAUAAAAGUUGAAUGUGCUGAAGACAUUGGUACCAAAUUCCUUGAUUGUCCAUACCAGCAGAAAAACAUAUUCUCAAAUGAGCACUCAAAUGUCGACAAACCUUGUCGAUUUUCUGAGUUUGUGGGGUCUGCAGGUGAAUCUGCUAUUUUUGAUGAGUCCGUUACAUCUGCGGGGAUGCUAGUCAAAAGGACCUUCUUGCUGUUUGUAGCAAGUGCAAUGAUGGUGCAGAGCACAUUUACUGCAUGUGUACAAGGCUGGACAAAGUUCCUGAUAACAGCUGGAUAUGUGAAGAAAUGCAUGCUUUCGGAAGUUAAUGAGAAGAUGAACAAAUCAAGUUUGAGAAGCUUGUGGCAUGUCGAAACUACAUAUCUUCAUAUCAGACAUAUGAAGGUGGUGAAAUGUCAAAGGGUUCUGAUGUUAAGGUAUAUAAUAAAGGAUUGGAUUUUGAGAAAAGCAGAGGAGACAAUGUAGGUUCUCUACCAUCCGGUGAGAAAACUUCACGCACUGUAGCUUCUGCAUUAGUAACAAAAAAACAGCACUUGGUGGAAAAUCUGAGUCAUCUUUUAUAGCUAGAGAAAGCCAAGCUCAUCAGGCUCAGAAUUUCGGAAUAAAGCCAGGUCACGAAUAGUGUGCAGCCAAUGAUUUCUCUUCUAGAACUAGAAGCAUCCAGGAGAAAGCACCCUUACCUACUGUAUCAGGUAAUCUAAUUAAGUCAUUCAACGAUUCAGAUAAAAGACCAAAAGUCCUGCGGUUAGAUGAGCUUCCAGGAAGCCAGUUUUCCAGUGAAGCUAGCAACAAGAAAAAGGGUUUUGCUCUCAGAAAAAUGGGAAUUCUGUGUCAUUUAAUGAUGCAAGUUUUGGCCGCUCAAGUACAUUUGGUCAAAAAUGUAAGAGGAUUCCUCCAAAGGUACCUGAAGAUCGUGAUAAGAAGAGAUUGAGGUACAUGAGAGAAGAUAAUUCAACUGAAACGACAUCUACCUCUGACUUUAAGAGGCCUCAAGUUUGCUCACCAAUAGAUGGUUUGCGUGUUUCUACAUCAUCAAAUGAUAAGAAGUUUGGGUCUCAUCGUGAAAUGAUAUUGCCAGAGGCUUGUGGAAGCAAGUAGCGUGAUGCCAGAGCUGUUCAGAUUCCAUGAGACUCAGAGGUGAAUUUGAAUUUCAGAGUUCUGAGAGGCUACCCAGGGUAUCAUAUAGGAUUCAAGCACGCUUGUAUACUCAGGCAUCACCCAGAGUUCCUAAAGCAGUUAAGAAAUUCUCUGACAAACUUCUUUUGGAGGAGGUGUCUUGCUCAAAUGCAUGACCUACUCAGUUCCAGAAAUAUUGUCCCCUAGAUGAUAGCAUUGGGCUUUACUUUUUCUCGCAGAAGACAUUAGCGACUAUGGAAAUUAGGAGACCUUAUUGAAGUGUUUGGUUGAUUAUGACCUGACUCUUAGAGAAAACCAUCGGGGGAUUGAACUUCUUAUAUUCUUAUCCCACCUGGUUCCGAAGAGCUCCCAGUGUAUGAAGUGGAUCUUUACUGGUUUAUUUUAUUUCUUGAGAUUGGAUUUGACAUAGUCACUGAACUGUCAUUGCUUUGUUUUUAUAUCUUGAGAUUGGCUUUGACAUGUCCACAUCCAUAUGAACAGCUCAUUUACAGCUGGAGAGGAGCAUGUAAGACACUUGGUUGACACCCAGAUCUCUCAGCUAAAGUUGUAAUGUCUUAUAGCAUAUAUGUUCCCAUCUGAGAUCUUGUGUAUAGUUGUCUUCAGAUAAGGCCCUUAAGUUGUUUUGACAAAUAAUGGAUUCUAUUGAUUCACAGUUCUUUCCAAUGGAUAGGAACUUCCUAAGUCCAAAAUAUGGUUGUCUGGUCUGGAAUCAUUUUUUGAUUGGGAAAUGGAGAAGAAAUCAUAGUAUGGUCAA